UACAAUAAGGCAUAUAAUUCGUAAAAUACUGCCUAAAACGAAAAUGAAAGACGAUGUUGUUCUUCAUUUUGGUCAUGAUGUUUUCACUCGUUGAAUUCAUGUGACAAUUCAUUAAUUCAAUCUCGGAACUAUAAGUUAUGGCACUACAACAUAUAUGUUUUUUUAGUACAAGAAAACUGAGGGCAAAAAAAUCUAACAACAUAUAUGUUUUUUGAUAUAAUGUAAAAACAAAACCAAAUGCAUGAAUAACUAAAAUCGUAUUACAUGAAAGAAAAACACAUGUGAUCUAACUGGGGUAUAUAAUAAUUUCUUUCUUUCUUUUUCAAUUCUUUCUUUUCUUUACGGUUUAGAUCACUCACAAGAAGUCAUUUUACAAUAUAACAACUUCAAAUAAAAUAAAAUAAAAUAAUAC
rnacentral:lncRNA from 1 species